GAUGAACGCUGGCGGUGUGCCUUAUACAUGCAUGUCGAACGAGGCGUAGCAAUACGUCUAGUGGCAAAUGGGUGAGUAAUAAAUAGGUAACCAACCCUUAAGACGGGGAUACCCCAUCGAAAGAUGGAAUAAUACCCGAUAAUGUCCCUUCCGGUGCGCUGGAGGGGAAGAAAGAUGGCGCAAGCUAUCACUUUUGGACGGGCUUAUUUCCUAUCAGCUAGUUGGUGAGGUAACGGCUUACCAAGGCUACGACGGGUAGCUGGUCUGAGAGGACGGUCAGCCACAUUGGGACUGCGACACGGCCCAGACUCCUACGGGAGGCAGCAGUCGGGAAUAUUCGGCCAAUGCGCGAAAGCGUGACCGAGCGACACCGCGUGGGCGACGAAGAUCUUAGGAUUGUAAAGCCCUUUUGCCAGGGAAGAAUACGCUGGAGACAAUAUCAAUAGCGUUUGACGGUACCUGGCGAAUAAGCCGCAGCAAACUACGUGCCAGCAGCCGC
rnacentral:rRNA from 1 species